CCUACGGGAGGCAGCAGUGAGGAAUAUUGGUCAAUGGGCUUACGCCUGAACCAGCCAAGUCGCGUGAGGGAAGACUGCCCUAUGGGUUGUAAACCUCUUUUGUCAGGGAGCAAAGCCGGCUACGUGUAGCCGGACUGAGAGUACCUGAAGAAAAAGCAUCGGCUAACUCCGUGCCAGCAGCCGCGGUAAUACGGAGGAUGCGAGCGUUAUCCGGAUUUAUUGGGUUUAAAGGGUGAGUAGGCGGUAUGUUAAGUGAAGGGUGAAAUUCCCGCGCUCAACGUGGGAACUACCUGUGAAACUGGCAAACUGGAGUGUGUGAGAGGAUAGUGGAAUGCCAGGUGUAGGAGUGAAAUCCGUAGAUAUCUGGAGGAACAUCAGUGGCGAAGGCGACUAUCUGGCACAUAACUGACGCUGAGGAGCGAAAGCGUGGGUAGCAAACAGGAUUAGAUACCCCAGUAGUC
rnacentral:rRNA from 1 species